rnacentral:misc_RNA from 1 species
AAGCUAUCCAUCAAUUCCACCACAAAUAACACCCUUAUUAACCUCUACCAACAAUCACCUUACAAUUCAUAAUCACAUCCACUAUUAUUGCUAUCCAUCAAUUCCACCACGAUACCACCCUUACUAACCCACCUUGCAAUUCAUAUUGUGGAAUCUAAUGCUUAAACAAUUAUUUUAUUUGACUUUGAAUUUUUCACUCCUUUAAUUCAAUCUUAUGUUUUUUAGUUUGACCGAGCAGUGAUCACAAAGUUUAAA